rnacentral:rRNA from 1 species
GUGCCAGCCGCCGCGGUAAUACCGGCAGCACGAGUGAUGACCGCUCUUAUUGGGCCUAAAGCGUCCGUAGCUGGCCACGCAAGUCUAUCGGGAAAUCCGCGCGCUCAACGCGCGGGCGUCCGGUGGAAACUGCGUGGCUUGGGACCGGAAGAUCCAGAGGGUACGUCUGGGGUAGGAGUGAAAUCCCGUAAUCCUGGACGGACCACCGGUGGCGAAAGCGCUCUGGAAAGACGGAUCCGACGGUGAGGGACGAAGCUCGGGUCACGAACCGGAUUAGAAACCCCAGUAGUCC